GGUUGCGAUCAUACCAGCACUAAUGCACCGGAUUCCACUCCGCAGUUAAGCGUGCUUGGGCGAGAGUAGUACUAGGAUGGGUGACCCCCUGGGAAGUCCUUUUUUUUCCGUUU
rnacentral:rRNA from 1 species